UUUGCGUCACUCCAUACCAUGAACUUAUUUGAACCUCUAUUUCAAAACACUUAACUUUUUUUUGCAAAACACCCCUAACUUUAUAAAUAACAUCUGUAAGAACUGCCGCUAUACUUAAUUGUACACAUUUUCUGUGCGACGGUGAACAAGUUGUCGGUUUAAACCACACAGCCAAAGAGCAAUCCGUAAGAAUAAUCUAACUAAUUAAGGUAAUUACACAAGUAGCCUUAUUAAGACAUCCUGAUAAAGGAGAGGGAGGAAGCCACCUGACAAGGAGACGAUGAAAGGUAUGGAAAAGCUAUAGCGACAUUAAAAGAGGUACACGGAUGAGCUGCAAGCGAGUAUAACAAGUCCAGCCGGUCCGUCAAGACAACUGCAGACAGGACAAGUAAUACAGUAGCCUAGUCCACACGAUCUGCCUCACCUGUCCGCCGACCACACAGUCGGCUCGCAAGAUAGGAAGAAAUGACUGUCUACACGUCAGACGGGAGUUACCGAACACCCGUGACGUGGGCUAGUCCUCCCGUGACCCCGACCGCCAGCUCGCUCACUAUACCUCCCCCCCGUCGUCUCUGGCCCACUCCAACUCCCAGCUCCUCCUUAUACUGCGAACCAGGAAGCGGCUUGCCCUACUUACGCCACGCCGCGGAUUGGCUCUGGCGGUCCAGGGACAACCGGUGGGGUUGGGGGUCGGACAUGGCGCGAUAGGCUAAUGCUGAUGUCUGUCGCUGCGAUGAGGAAAGGAGGGGGUCCAUAAUAUUGAUCGUAGGUUGAAUUCCUGGGAUGAAGCUCGCGCUAGUAGGCUGUAAGGGUGGGCGAAUGCACAGUGAGCGUGUUGCUGUCAAAAACGGUAUUUAUAUUCAAAUAAAUGUACGUGUUUGCUGUGCCAGUUGAAAUGUACUGUACUGCUGUUAGCACUAUCGCUGCACUUCUGCUUUCUAUCUCAUUGUGAUUAAAGUGAUGAGACACUA